GGCAGCAUGAUAUAGUGGUUUAUAUGUUAAACUAUGACUCUAGGAGUUGAAGGUUCAAAUCUCUGCUCAGCCA